AGUAAAAAAUACAAAGUAGAAAAAUGCAUAAAAAGUUACAAAAUACAGUAAGUGAAAAAUGCAUAAGUAGUUAAAGUAGAGAAUAAAAAAUAACAACAAUAUUUACAGUAUGAAAAAAUGAAAAAAGAAUAUCAGGUAUUUUCGUAAAUAAAAAUUGAAACUUGAAAAUACAAUAGAAAAAUAUGAACUGGAAAUAUUCAAAUGAGUACCAAUGGGAAGAAUACAUACCGCAUUGAAAUCGUGCAGAGUCAACUUACGUGAAUGCAGAAUCAGUGAAGAAGCUCUUCUAAAGCUCGGAGAGUUCGGUCGCUUGAGGUAUGGUUUUCGUAGUCGCUUAUCAGCUAGAUAUGGAAUCAAUCCCAGCAAGAUUUCGAGAUGGAAACUCUGCGGUAGUACUGGAAGAUCGUUCUCGGUUGGACCCUGUUUAUCGAUUAUUGUCUCAAUUUCAUGAAGGUAGAUGAUUCGUCGUGUAUUACUGAAUAAUACAGCCUUGUAUCGGAGCCAAGCGCGAAAAUCUUUGCAAAGCUGAUCAUUUUCCUUAGUAAGUAUAGGUGGUAAAAGUAUGAUUUUUGAUACGUGUGUAUUCUUAAUAAAACAUAUCAGCUGCUUCGCAUCCUCAAUAAUAUCAUCCAGCUUACGUUUGUCGGCAAUGUCGCGAUGUCCAAUUGAUAGUAUGAUAUACUUCGGCAGCACAACGACAAAUUUGCGCAAGUUCGAUUGUAAAUCUUUAAUUGAGAUUGAACGAUUGAUGAAUAAAUUGUUAGGCAGCUGAUUGAUAAGGUCAAUGUUUCCUGCUACAGCAUCGUCGACUAUGCCAUUAAUAAUUCCAUCGCCAA